CAGGGAGGGCUCCGGGGGCGGACGCGCGCUCGCCUCUCAGGAGUGAGAGAAGGGAGGCGGCGGCGAGCUGCCUCAUGGCCCCGGACGGUCGCCCGUGUUCCCGGGACCGAGCGGCCUCUAACGGGACGAGCCAGGGCUAGCCGGCGGGCGGGGGCCGCGGGUGAUCCCAUAAAGUGGAUACUGUUACUAGCCCUAUUUUACAAUCUGCCCAAGAAGGGGUGAGGCCUGGAAGUGAGGCGCGCAGAGAUGGGACGUACAACACAAAGUCUGGAGAGGGCGCCUCCAGAUGCUUCUUUGCAGGGCUUGCUGCCUCUUGAACCAUGAACUUUGUCUCAAAAGCCAUCUGGUUUCUCGUCUCGAAAACAUCCCACGGCAGCUCUGAGUGCUACAGACCAGGCUGGGUCAUCUGCUGCUGCUGGCUUCCAGAUAUUGCUCCAAACGUUUCUGCAAGGCUGGUGACGUCCCAAGGCACUGAGACUUUAGAUGCCCACCGCCCAAUAUUUGGUAGUGCUCACAAAACAUGUCGAUGGAGAAAAAAGUAUGACUGCAACACGGGGCAGCAAUAGGUAACAGGGAAGACCUGCGCGCACACUAGGUUUACGCCCCGCUUCAUUCGAGGCCCUUGGAGGAAGCUGGAAGAGCAUGUAUGUACUUCAGUAAUCUCCAACUGGUCUUUCUGUGCAUGAACUCAAGAGCUGGAACUGUAUUACAAAGCAAGGAGCUGGUGCUCAGCAUUCAGCAGGGAGUUCUCAGGGGCCUACGUCCAGGAUUUUAGAUGAUGUUCACCUUUUCACGAGUAAACUUACCAAGAGUAACUUAAAUCACAGCUUUAGGUAUCCUAACAACAGCUUGUUAUAUCCUUGGGCACAGUUACAUGAGGAUGCACCUAUAUAUCCAUCAGCAGGUGUGGGGGGAUAGCUCCAACAAAUACCUUUGACUUUGAAGAGACAAACCUGACCGCUGUAGUGUGGCCUCAGGCUCCAAAUGAAUGCCUCAAUGCAGCCCAACUUGCUCAAUGCCCAGGCAAGGCCACAGACGGCACCCAGUGCUUCUGUGCCGCUGAAUAUAGUGUAGAGAUCCUGAUGUUUGCUAAUUGCUGCUUUUCCUUCUUUUUUCCUUUCUUUUUAAGAUCUUCUCAUGCAGCAAAGUUCCUGUCUACCAACAUGAGUUGCAGUCUAAAGCCACAGUGAAUUUUGUGACAGUAACAUUAACAAUCCAGUGGUAUAGAAACAUUCUAGUCUUCCUGUAAACGUACUGAACACGGAGAACAGAAAUGAUUCUAGGAAUGACUUUGGUUUUUUAAAUUAUUCUUGAGGGAGAUAUAAAGAGCACAGCAUCUUUGAAUUCUUGAGGCACGGUCACAAUACGCCAUGUGUUAUGGAAAAGCUGACACACAAAUAUGGGUCAUUAUUACUCUCCUUCUAAGAACUGCAAGAGAGUGAGAGAGAGAGAGAGAGAGAAGCUGCAGCAAUCCAGACCAGAUGAUAUGCUAACACCAAACAGAAGAAGAAACGAUCACAUACACACUCACUAUACACUGGACUCCCUACUCUGUACGUACCCUCUGUUCU